rnacentral:rRNA from 1 species
GACGAACGCUGGCGGCGUGCUUAACACAUGCAAGUCGAACGGAAAGGCCCUGCUUUUGUGGGGUGCUCGAGUGGCGAACGGGUGAGUAACACGUGAGUAACCUGCCCUUGACUUUGGGAUAACUUCAUGAAACUGGUGCUAAUACCGGAUAGGAGCUCCUGCUGUAUGGUGGGGGUUGGAAAGUUUCGGCGGUUGGGGAUGGACUCGCGGCUUAUCAGCUUGUUGGUGGGGUUGUGGAUUACCAAGGCUUUGACGGGUCGCCGGCCUGGGAGGGUGACCGGCCACAUUGGGACUGGGAUACGGCACAGACUCCUACGGGAGGCAGGGGUGGGGAAUAUUGCACAAUGGGAUGAAGCCUGAUGCAACAACGCCGCGUGCGGGAUGACGGCAUUCGGGUUGUAAACCGCUUUCGCCUGUGACGAAGCGUGAGUGACGGUAAUGGGUAAAGAAGCACCGGCUAACUACGUG